rnacentral:rRNA from 1 species
UACGGAGGAUGCAAGCGUUAUCCGGAUUUAUUGGGCGUACAGCGUACGCCGGUGGUUUUCUAAGUCUGCUGUUAAAGCGCGAGGCUUAACCUCGUACAGGCAGUGGAAACUGGAUGACUAGAGUAUGGUAGGGGUAGCGGGAAUUCCCAGUGUAGCGGUGAAAUGCGUAGAUAUUGGGAAGAACACCAGCGGCGAAAGCGACUUCCUGGACCAAAACUGACGCUCAUGUGCGAAAGCGUGGGGAGCAAACAGG